GGCAAACGGGAGCGUAACACAUUGGUAACUCACCUCGCACUCGCGAAUAACUAUUGGAAACGAUAGCUAAUACGCGAUAUUAUUGCCCUCUCUUAUGAGUAGGCAAUGAAAGAUUUAUCGGUGCGAGAGAGACCUAUGGUCCAUCAGGUAGUUGGCGGGGUAAUGGCCCACCAAGCCUAUGACGGAUACCAGGCGCGAGAGCGUGACCUGGCUCAUUGGAACUGAGACACUGUCCAAACACCUACGGGUGGCUGCAGUCGAGAAUAUUCCGCAAUGCACGAAAGUGUGACGGAGCGACGCCGCGUGCCGAAUGAAGGCCUUCGGGUCGUAAACGGCUUUUAUCAGGGACGAAUUUUGACGGUACCCGAUGAUAAGGGGUUGCUAACUCUGUGCCAGCAGCAGCGGUAAUACAGAGACCCCGAGCAUUAUCCGGAUUUAUUGGGCGUAAAGCGUUCGUAGGCGGCUUUGUAAGUCAUUUGUUAAAUCCUCAGGCUCAACCUGGGGGCUGCAGGUGAUACUGUAAGGCUCGAGUGUGGGAGAGGCAAAUGGAAUGCCCGGUGUAGCGGUAAAAUGCGUUAAUAUCGGGUAGAACACCAAAGGCGAAGGCAAUUUGCUGGA
rnacentral:rRNA from 1 species